rnacentral:rRNA from 1 species
UUUUGACCUCGGAUCAGGUAGGAAUA